UUUGUCCUUGCUUUUGACCUGUGGGAAUGUUUUGCAUGAAACAUCCACCAGAAGACAGGUGGCUCCUGUGACGUCACAGUGCUAGUCAGGCAAGAGGAUGACGCCAUGUCUCGUCUGAUCUUUUACCACUUACCGGAGAAGGAUGAAGGAGGAGAGAGGGCUAGGCUGCAGGGUGCUCUCCCGGUCCUCCAUUGAUGCAGAGAACCUGGACUCGUGGAUGCUAUGAUCAAACUUUUCCUGAAAGGUGUUGCAACAUUACAGACAACGUUUGAGAACCAUAAAUGCCCAUGACUGCAUCAAAAGAAAGUUACAAGGAGAAACCAAUAAUUAUUGUUGAGCGAGAGAGAGAGAGAGAGA